GAUGAACGCUGGCGGCGUGCCUAACACAUGCAAGUCGAGCGAAGCGGGGGCGGGUGAGGAACAUGUGGCUAACGUCCUAUAAGACUGGGAUAACUUCGGGAAAGCGGAGCUAGACAGGACACUUGUAGAUGGAUCCGCGCUGCAUUAGUUAGUUGGUAAGGUAACGGCUUCCCAAGGCUACGAUGCAUAGCCGACCUGCGAGGGUGAUCGGCCACACUGGAACUUAGACACGGUCCUGACUCCUACGGGAGUCAGCGGUGGGGAAUCUUGCGCAAUGGGCGAAUGCCUGACGGAGCUACGCCGCGUUAGUGAUGAGGGUCUUCGGAUCUUAAAGCUCUGUUAUUAGGGAGGCGGUACCUAAACAGAAAGCCACGGCUAACUACGUGCCAGCCGCCGCGGUAAUAC
rnacentral:rRNA from 1 species